rnacentral:lncRNA from 1 species
GUGCCUCACRUGUGAGAAGCAAAUUCUCUAUCACUGAGCCACAACCCCAGCCCUGAAAUGGUUUUUAAAACAUAGGAUAAGUAGAUCCUAGAGGGGGAAAGAUAUGGAGUAUGAGCCACUCCUCAGAAAGCAAAGGAAAAUAGAAAGUAGAAGGGAGGGCUCCUCCCAGAUAGUCUCUAGGUGGGGAGAACAAUUAAUCAGAUAGUUUCUAGGUGGGGAGAACAAUUAAUCGAGGAAGUGGCGAAAGGGCAGGGAGGGGUUUCGGGGGUGGAGUGUAAAGGGGAAACUGAGUACACCAAAAAAUUUUGCCUGCUUAACACUUUUUGUCAGGGGUCAGCCUUUGCAUGAUCCCUGAGAGAGAAGAGCCCAGAGUUUUGAGGAGAGGAUUCUAUGACGUCAGCAUCUGACCUUUGUGACAAAAGCAUUUGAUACCAGGCAGAACUAUCCCUAGGGAAUGGGGCCUCUAGCUCCCAUUGGGGGCGGCAACGCCGCCCCUUAGACAAAGUCCCAGUCUCCCAGAGGCUUUUACCAGCUGGCCCCAGUGCUGCUGCUGCUGGGCGUGGUAAGCCAUCUCAGCCAGGGCCAGGCUGAGCUAAAGGACAUCAGCAUUAGGGGCGACCAGCGGUCAGGAGAACCAGGUUGUCAGGAAACCAGGAUGCUUACAGAAUCUCUGAGUCAGGAUUAGGAGGACAAAACCCUGUAACCAGAAGACCUCUGCCUGGCUGAAGGAGGACUGAGGGCAACAUUCAGACAGAAUUCUGGGUGAGUUUAAGGUGACAGAUGCUGGAGGCAGAGGAAGGUGUAUUGCCCUUUCACCAUUUGAUAACUCUUCUCUCUCUCCCAGGUCCCCUCUUUGCUGAAGUGUCUUGUGAAACAGCCCAGAGGAAUCCUCAUUGGUCCCAGAUCUCGGGGAGCCCCCGAGACACCCUGAAGGGCUGGUUGACUGGAGGUCAGGUCUGUUCUCCUGCCCUGAACCCUGGAAACCCCUUAUGGAGUUUGCUGUCUCCUGGCUGAAGAGGACCCAAGGCACCUAAAGCCCCAUUCAGCCUUCAGUGUAUCCAAUAAAGCCUGAC